AUAAUCAGAGCCAGUGUGGUUUGAGCGUUAGACUACAACUCUGGAGGCCAAGGUUCAAAUCCCUGCUUGGCUAUG